rnacentral:rRNA from 1 species
UCCGAGCCCAACCUCCCACCCGUGUAUACCGUACCCUGUUGCUUCGGCGGGCCCGCCUCACGGCCGCCGGGGGGCCUCGCGCCCCCGGGCCCGCGCCCGCCGAAGACCCCAACACGAACACUGUCUGAAAAGUGCAGUCUGAGUCGAUUGUUACCAAUCAGUCAAAACUUUCAACAAUGGAUCUCUUGGUUCCGGCAUCGAUGAAGAACGCAGCGAAAUGCGAUAACUAAUGUGAAUUGCAGAAUUCAGUGAAUCAUCGAGUCUUUGAACGCACAUUGCGCCCCCUGGUAUUCCGGGGGGCAUGCCUGUCCGAGCGUCAUUGCUGCCCUCAAGCACGGCUUGUGUGUUGGGCCCCGUCCCCGGUACCCCCGGGGACGGGCCCGAAAGGCAGCGGCGGCACCGCGUCCGGUCCUCGAGCGUAUGGGGCUUUGUCACCCGCUCCGCAGGCCCGGCCGGCGCCAGCCGACCAACCCAACCAUUUUCUACAGGUUGACCUCGGAUCAGGUAGGGAUACCCGCUGAACUUAAGCAUAUCAAUA